AUUGAACGCUGGCGGCAUGCUUUACACAUGCAAGUCGAACGGUAACAGGCCUUCGGGUGCUGACGAGUGGCGAACGGGUGAGUAAUGCAUCGGAACGUGCCCAGAGGUGGGGGAUAACGCAGCGAAAGCUGUGCUAAUACCGCAUGCGAUCUGAGGAUGAAAGCGGGGGACCAAGCAGCAAUGUUUGGCCUCGCGCCUCUGGAGCGGCCGAUGUCAGAUUAGGUAGUUGGUGGGGUAAAGGCCUACCAAGCCGACGAUCUGUAGCUGGUCUGAGAGGACGACCAGCCACACUGGGACUGAGACACGGCCCAGACUCCUACGGGAGGCAGCAGUGGGGAAUUUUGGACAAUGGGCGCAAGCCUGAUCCAGCAAUGCCGCGUGCGGGAAGAAGGCCUUCGGGUUGUAAACCGCUUUUGUACGGAACGAAAAGGCUCUGGCUAAUACCUGGGGCUGAUGACGGUACCGUAAGAAUAAGCACCGGCUAACUACGUG
rnacentral:rRNA from 1 species